GACGAACGCUGGCGGCGUGCUUAACACAUGCAAGUCGAACGGAGCUGAUACUACUUUGCUUUUCUCACCUUUGUGGCGAACGGGUGUGUAACGCGUGUGUAACCCGCUCCGGAGCGGGGGACAACAGUUGGAAUCGACUGAUUAUACCGUAUAAGCCUACGUUCCGGCCCCGGAUUGAGGGAAUAGGAUUUAUUCGCUACAGGACGGACUCGCGUCCAAUUAGCUAGUUGGUGAAGUAACGGCCCACCAACGCGACGAUAGGUAGCCGGAGUGUGCGGAUGACCAGCCACGUUGGGAGUGAGGCACGGCCCAGACUCGUGAGGGAGGCGGCAGUAAGGGAUAAUACACGAUGGGAGAAACCCGGAUGCAGCGACGCCGGGUGGAGAAGGAAGGUGUGCUGAUUGUUAACUCCGCUCGGGAGGGACGAUAAUUGCGGUACCUAGCAAGAAAACACCGGCUAACUACGUG
rnacentral:rRNA from 1 species